rnacentral:tRNA from 1 species
GCACCAUCUCUUACUUGAUAGAGUACUCGGCUACGAACCGAGCGGUCGGAGGUUCGAAUCCUCCCGGAUGCACCA